GACGAACGCUGGCGGCGUGCUUAACACAUGCAAGUCGAACGGAGUGGCGAACGGGUGAGUAACACGUGGGUGAUCUGCCUUGCAAUCUGGGGUAAGCUUGGGAAACUGGGUCUAAUACCGGAUAGUGCAAGAUGAGCUCGCGGGCUAUCAGCUUGUUGGGGGGGUAAUGGCCUACCAAGGCGUCGACGGGUAGCCGGCCUGAGAGGGUGUACGGCCACAUUGGGACUGAGGUACGGCCCAGACUCCUACGGGAGGCAGCAGGGGGGAAUAUUGCACAAGGGGCGGAAGCCUGAUGCAGAGACGCCGCGGGGGGGAUGACGGCCUUCGGGUUGUAAACUCCGUUCGACAGGGACGCGGUACCUGGAUAAGAAGCACCGGCUAACUACGUGCCAGCAGCCGCGGUAAUAC
rnacentral:rRNA from 1 species